rnacentral:lncRNA from 9 species
UGCAACUCCUUCCUGACCCUGCCAAGACCCCACACUGAACCCCUCCUGACCCAGCCCAAGCCCCCUCAUCUCUCACACGGGGCUAGGCUGAAAUUUGAGUCCAUGGCCAACAUCCCAACCUCCUGGAACCCCUCCAACUGUCAUGGAACCUCCCCCUUGCCCAAAGCUCCACGUCACACUGAAGCCCUGAGGCCAGCUUGGGGACAACAGGAAAGACCAAGAAGCACAGAGAGGGGACGGAGAGAUUCAAAUCCCAAGGGACAGAGCCUGAGCCUGGGGAGAGACCAAUGGACUUCCAGAUGGCCAUGGAGAUGCCCGGAAGGAAGGGCUGAGGCGGCUGGCAGGUUGUUGAGUGCAUCUGAGCACCAGUCUUGCCCCGCAUCACUCCAUGGCGCAGAGGCCCCGAUCUGGCCAUCAGAGCACUCAGCCAGAUUCCCUUCCUGCAACUCCCAGCAACACCCAAUGGGAGACCCAAGGCCCUUGGUCAACUACCUUUAGUCCCUGGACCAGUACCCAAGAGUCUCAGCCCACCGUCCAGACUCGACAGACCAGUACCCAAGAGUCUCAGCCCACCGCCCAGACUCGACAGACCGGUACCCAAGAGUCUCAGCCCACCGCCCAGACUCGACAGACCGGUACCCAAGAGUCUCAGCCCACCGCCCAGACUCGACAGACCGGUACCCAAGAGUCUCAGCCCACCGUCCAGAGUCGACAGACCGGUACCCAAGGCUCUCAGCCUAUUAUCCAAAGUCAACAGACCGGUACCCGAGACUCUCAGCCCACCGCCCAGAGUCGCCGGGUCAGUAUCCAAGAACCCCUGCCCAUCCUCCACAGUCGCCGGGUCAGUAUACGCGAGCCCCUGCCCAUCCUCCACAGCCACCGGGCGAGUAACCAAGACUCUCUCCUAAUCAAUAUUCAGCGACUCAGUGCGGAGGACACAGCAUCCAUCAGCAGCAGUCACCAUGCCACUGUCCAAGACACACGGUCCAUUAGCUACAGUCGCCACUUGAACCCCCGAGAUGUCCCACCAACCUUCCAAACGCACCACUUGGGUAUCCAAAGUCUUUCGUCAACCUCCUGCAGCCCCCUGGCCUACACUAGUCAAGUUAGCAUCCAGCCAACAACCCAGAGCACCCACUCCAAUCUGCCAGGCUCCAUGUCACCAGUCCGGGCCAAAGUGGAUGUCCCUCCUUCAAUUACUUACAGCCCCGAGGCCAGUAUCAAAAGCCUCGAUGAAUCAAUUAUCUGGACCUCACAGGAGAGUUUCAAAGACUCUUUGGAUGGCUUCCAAAUUGAUCAACAUGCCCUAGAAAGCAACAUCCACAGCCUACCCUCAGGCAGCUCCAUUGAGGGUGAGGCUGGCAGGUUUCAGGACAGGUGUAUAGUCAGCCAUUCCCAGCUGCCCAUGGGCUGGCGGCUGCUGCACGAGGCCAAGAAGUUUAGUCGCCAGCUGAGCUUGGUGCUCUGCCUGGCCGGCAUGGUGAUCAUCGGUCUCAUCUCUCUGGGCCAGCCCUGGAUCCACUUUCAGGUGCCACUGGCACCCCCGGGGAACCCUGCUGGCUCCAAGACCAUCCCCAUCAACACCAUCUUCUUCGUGCGAUGCCCGGAUAUCUCCUGCAUGCAUGAGUACGACCAGAACGCUUACUUAUUGGACUUUGCCUGGGCCUUCCUCCUCUUCGCCAGCGUUGCCAGCCUCUUCCUCUGCAUCAUACUCAUAAACAUCAUCUUCUUCACCAGCACCAACAUGCCCAUGCUGGACUUCUCCAGCAUCAUCACCAGCAUCCUGACAGGGACCAGCAUGACGUUGGGUGUCCUGUUCUACCUGAUGCAGGCCCAUGAGUACCUGCAAGAAGGCAUGACCUACAAGCUGGGGCUCAGCUUCUACCUGGCCUGGAUUGGUGUCUUCCUCUUCUUCAUGACUGGUUUCUUUUCCUACCUGAACUACAUACAUUUCUGGUCCCUCCUGGCGAUCCAGGCCAUCUGGACUUAGGACAUGGACAAGACCCACUGCGGGCCUGUUCCCACAGCUCCCUGCAAGCACCUGCCAACCCUGCUCUCUAGCCCUCGCCUCCCCAAAGCCUCUCAUCCUUUUUCAGUCCCCCUGAGUCACCCCCUCCAACUCAGAUUAAUAACCUGUAUUUUCAAAUAAUCUGUAUUUUUCAUGCAGAAUGUUCUUUUAGCUCAGGG